AACGCACCUUGCGCUCCCUGGUAUUCCGAGGAGCAUGUCUGUUUGAGUGUUAUGAAAUCUUCAACCCACCUGUUUCUUGUUAAACAGUCUGGUGCUUUGGAUCAUGGGCGUCUUUUGCUGGUCCCCAAGCCGGGGUUGGCUCGCCUGGAAUGCAUGAGCAGCAUCGUCCCUCGACAUCUGGCUUGACUUGGCGUGAUAGGUUAUUUCGCUGGGGACAACACUUCGGGUGUUGGCCGAGUCGUGGGAAGAGGGCUUCCAAUGAAAUGUACUCUAAAUAUUUGACCUCAAAUCAGAUAGGACUACCCGCUGAACUUAA
rnacentral:misc_RNA from 1 species